UUGAGAGACCUGGAGUGGUCUCGGUACGUUGAGACAAUCUUCUCUUCGCCUGUGCCUUCUGUGUCCCUCUUUUUUAAGCUGACGAGAGCCCUCCUGGGGAGGAAAUUUUCAAUUUUUGGCCUCAGCCCCAAAGAGAAUAUACUUCCAUGAGAUUUUCAAGAUCGCUUUAUGGCUGAGGAUUUGAAUUUUUGCAUUUGAGGGUCAAGGACAAUAGUGGUAUUAUUAUGGCUUUUUAAAAAAACACUUCAAGCAAAUUCCGGUCAUCUCUGGGAGGCAAACUUUGAACAUCUCGGCAGUCCCCAAGGAGAACAAUCUUCUGUAACUUUGAAGCCAAAUGGGAUUUCUGAAAAGGAAGCUACAGUCAAUUGAAAACUCUCAGUGGAGCGUGAAGGGCAGAGGAGUCCCCGCGGUGGGCCGCAGCUGAGCUCGCCCAGGCUGGACGUGCCCUUCCCGGCUGGAGAGAGACCGCACAGACAGCACAGUAGGCGUGCUGGAGGCUGCACGGGCCUCCGACCAGACCCUCUGCUCGGAGACCAGCUCAGAAGACCAAGUAUUUCUUCCUCGAUCUUUGCUAUGGGCUUGGCUGUUUUCAAAUGACUUUAGGUGACUAAGACAGAAAAGACAGGCAAAAGAAAAACAAAGUGAGACUCUGCCCACCUUCUCCCCAGCAAAGAUGCUCUGGGAUAUAGCAGAAACAAAGAGAUGAGGGCUGGCUCUGUCUUCCCAGCAAUGUCUGCAGUGGGAAAGUGGCCGUAAGAAAUGGCAAUCGGAUGGCAUUGCCAGAAUGGAAAAGGCAAACUCAGGUACCUGUGACGUGACAGGAAGUGGAUGAGCCAACUGGGGCGAUCAUCCACAGUCCAGAUUGGAAUGAGCAAAUGAGACAUACUGAUCCCUCAUCAAAUCAUGGCUCUUUGGGUCAUGAUCAGUAAAAUGAAGAAAGGUUACUAGGCAACCAUGACAGAUUUCCUCAAUGUCAGCGAUGAGAGUAAUGGAGGAGACUAAUGGACUAAGGGCACCAGCAGCAGCCUUUGCAGUUUGACUACAAUACAACUGGCCACACUGGGAAGGAGCCAGGGAUGGACAAAGCAGCUGAUGGCGCCAGUGCCCAUCCUGGAUACAGCCCUACCUCCUUAUCCUCUUCUGCAUCUUGUUACUGGUUGUUUAGAGAAAGUGGAGAUAGUUCUCACCCUUUGAGAAAAAGUGUCAUCAAAAGACUGUCUGGUGCAGCUCAGGAGAGGAGAGCCAUAAAGAAGCUGCUUUGUGGAUGUGGCCCUAGAGGCUGGUUCCCUGGAUGGUCUCCCGAAGGUUCGACUACCCAGCUCCCAUACCUAUGCUCCAAACUCUUUCCCAAUGGAAGGAGAGUCUAGAAAGAGUCUUGUAACCCUCAGCAAUUGAAUCUGGAGCUAAGAUACCUGUGACUGGGCACAGCCACCUGUCAGAGACACCCAAGGCUCUGUUCGCCCACACAGCAGACUUUUUGGUGGAGCUGUUGGCCUGGCACUCAUACAACCCUUGGCCACCAUGGAGACUACUGGUCUCCUCGUCCUCAUAGGGGUCAGCCUUGAACUCCCGCCUGGUUUCAAUCUACUGCUGCACCCUGCUGAAGUCGUCUACCUGAAGGGAGAGCCCACUGCUGAAACUCCCACCUCUCCAGGCCUACAGCCUUUUGGCUGAUACUGGUCAGUUUCUUGUUUCUUAUCUUUAGGCCAUAAUUUGGCUCCUUCAGGGUGAAAGGGGCCUCCCAGUCAGAAGACAUCCUGCAGCUCCUUUUCUGUUCUUAUCACCAAAAUGCCAUUCCAGAAGAUGAGGAAGGAGGGUGAGUGAGAGCAUCACAGUUCUUAUCACUCCCACCAAAAGACUGCACCCAGGCCCUUGAAGGCCUCCUUGGGAGCCAGAGAGGCCAAUGGGAGGGGAAGGAUGGCUGCCAGCUCUGUCACCCCUUAAGACACGGAUGGUCUGACCUCCUCCACAUCUUGAUUCCCUGGGCUGGUAUUUCAGUGGAAGCUGUUUUUCCCUUUCUGGGGGCAGUUGGGGGAAAAGAACACAAUUGCCCAUCCAAGCUCCUCCUUCCUCCUUGUCUUUAUGUGGAGGGAACUGAUGUGUCAUGGAUGAAAGAGAGUGCAUUUUAGAACCAGGCAAACCGACUUUGAUCUAUUUGCCAUCAGAAGUGUCCUAGAACUUUCUGAGACUCAGUUUCUUCAUCUGUAAAAGAAUAACAAAAAUACCACUUGCUAUGGUAGUUUUGAGGAUGCGAUGAGAUGACAUUUUUCAUUUUUAGAACAAAAGCACCACGACACAUUCCUUUCGUGGAGUGAGGGACAACCAAGCUCCUGCGUGGUUCCACCUUCCAGGAAAAGGGAUUUAUUUCCAUUUUCAGCAUUUAUUAGUACAUUUGCUGCUCUAAGAAAUUGUUGUAGAUCUUUUGCCAGCUAAAGUUGCUCAAAAAGAUUCAUACAACUGAAUCCUGAUUCUUUUUCCUGGCUGCAAAAUAAUUUUAGCACUCUCUCACAUAAUAAUUUUUACUCGUAUUUAACAGCUUUAUUGAGGUAUAAUAGACAUGAAGUAAACUACAUGCGUUUAAAGUGUGCAAGCUGAUCAACUUUGGCCCAUGCAGACAUCUGUGAAGUCAUUGCCAAGUGAGAACAAUGAGCACAUCCAAACCUUCCUCACACCCCUUUGUUCCUCCUCCCUCCCACCUCCCCACCCCACCUUUAGGCAACCGCUGA